rnacentral:rRNA from 1 species
AUUGAACGCUGGCGGCAGGCCUAACACAUGCAAGUCGAACGAGUGGCGGACGGGUGAGUAAUGUCUGGGAAACUGCCCGAUGGAGGGGGAUAACUACUGGAAACGGUAGCUAAUACCGCAUACCAUCGGAUGUGCCCAGAUGGGAUUAGCUUGUAGGUGAGGUAACGGCUAACCUAGGCGACGAUCCCUAGCUGGUCUGAGAGGAUGACCAGCCACAAUGGAACUGAGACACGGUGCAGACGCCGACGGGAGGAAGAAGUGGGGAAGAUGGCAAAAGGGGGGCAAGCCUGAUGCAGCCAUGCCGGGUGUAGGAAGAAGGCCUUCGGGUUGUAAAGUACGUGCAGCGGGGAGGCGUUACCCGCAGAAGAAGCACCGGCUAACUCCGUGCCAGCAGCCGCGGUAAUUC